AAUCAAAUAUAUGACAAAGUAUUUAUAGGAGAUGCAAAGAGCCGAGAGAGAGGAGAUCCCGGCGAACAGCGCCACGAUGGCACUUCGCCGCUGCCUCGCGGCAUGGACUUGAGCACUCGUCGUAAGCGAUGCGAAGGGAAAAAGCACUGUAUGGCCAUAUGAUGCUUGACAGGCUGGAGUUACCAUGUUAUGAUUCCUUCUUGGAUUGCUAAAUUUGAACCAGAAUGAUCCAGCAACAGCUUUCUGGAUCCUAUGACUGUCAGGUGCCAAAUUGAAACUCAUGGUUUGUGCUUUCACAAGUUGGCAUACAAUCUCCAAAAGGGAUUAGCACUGGAAGAUCCAGCGACUUCUAACUAUUUUCUAGUGUAACUAGAACUCUUCAAAGUAAAACAAAGAUGGGCAUGCAAAAUCAGCGAGAAGAAGCUUCUUAAUGAAUGUAAUAUUCUUCACCAUCAACUUGAAGAAAGUAGUGUUAACUUUCUUACAUGAGAGGAACAUAAGUUCACAAUGAGUCCAUCACUGCCCAACGCUUUAUGUCUCCUGACAACCUCAGACAGCAGGCACAACUCCUGGCACAGGAUAUUGACAUACCGGCUUUGAUAUGACAAAAGCCAGAAGCAUUGGUGAUAGUGAUGUAAUGGACGAUGACGUGCAAAAAAUGCUGCCAGAUACUAUCAUAGACAAUGGUAGACUCAGGAAGCACAUCAAGUAGUUGUUCGACUUGUUCCCAAAAAUUGUUAGUAAACCAGAGAAAGAAGUUAGCGAUGUCAUUUCCUCCGGCAAAGCUAUUAUAAGCAGGUUCUCUCAAAGGUGAGGCUAUAGCAAAUUUCCUUGAGCUGACAGCCAAAGAUGAUGCCAUUUGCAUGGAAACCAUAGUAGACAGGUUUCCAGAAAGAUGUCAUGGGCCUAAUGCCUUCUCAAGAUGUGACAACCAAACUUAUCUGCAUUUUAAAUGGUCUGCCUUGGUUUUAAAAGAAUAUUGUUCACUUGAGACAUUGCUUUUUAAUUUAUAAAUAGUACAAAAAAUAUUUGAUAGGAAA